rnacentral:rRNA from 1 species
GACGAACGCUGGCGGCGUGCUUAACACAUGCAAGUCGAACGGUGAAGCCCUUCGGGGUGGAUCAGUGGCGAACGGGUGAGUAACACGUGGGCAACCUGCCCCUGGCUCUGGGACAACCACUGGAAACGGUGGCUAAUACCGGAUACGACCCGCCUCGGCAUCGAGUGUGGGUGGAAAGUUUUUCGGCUGGGGAUGGGCUCGCGGCCUAUCAGCUUGUUGGUGAGGUGAAGGCUCACCAAGGCGACGACGGGUAGCCGGCCUGAGAGGGCGACCGGCCACACUGGGACUGAGACACGGCCCAGACUCCUACGGGAGGCAGCAGUGGGGAAUAUUGCACAAUGGGCGAAAGCCUGAUGCAGCGACGCCGCGUGAGGGAUGACGGCCUUCGGGUUGUAAACCUCUUUCAGCUCCGAAGAAGCGAAAGUGACGGUAGGAGCAGAAGAAGCACCGGCUAACUACGUG